AUUGAACGCUGGCGGCAGGCUUUACACAUGCAAGUCGAACGAGUGGCGGACGGGUGAGUAAUGUCUGGGAAACUGCCUGAUGGAGGGGGAUAACUACUGGAAACGGUAGCUAAUACCGCAUACCAUCAGAUGUGCCCAGAUGGGAUUAGCUAGUUGGUGGGGUAAAGGCUCACCAAGGCAACGAUCCCUAGCUGGUCUGAGAGGAUGACCAGCCACACUGGGACUGAGACCCGGUCCCGACUCCUACGGGAGGCAGCAGUGGGGAAUAUUGCACAAUGGGCGCAAGCCUGAUGCAGCCAUGCCGCGUGUAUGCAGAAGGCCUUCGGGUUGUAAAGUACUUUCAGCGGAGAAGCGUUACCCGCAGAAUAAGCACCGGCUAACUACGUGCCAGCAGCCGCGGUAAUAC
rnacentral:rRNA from 1 species